CCAGUGCGAUUGCCCAGCCGGCCUUGGACAGGAGGCCUGAUAAGAGCCAUUCGCCCGCACGUAGGCUCACGUCUCUGCCGUUGACAUGGGGGCAAUGGUAUUGGCCUGGGGGAAGGGCCCCGUGCUGGGGAGGCCUGUUGGAGGCCCGGUUGGGUUUCCCUCCCUGUGGCCUCCUAGGGAGAGGCCUGGGCUGGCAGUUGACCUACCUGGGCUCCCCAUCUGGAGAGGGAGGGGUCGAUGGCAGCCACGGGUUUCGGGGAACUACAUGUGGCCCCACAUGGGACCGUGUGGGUGGGCUGGGGAGAAGGGCCUCGACCUCUGGCCUCUGGGACUUUGGCCUCUGAGUGCGGGGUCUGGAUGGGAGGUGGGGGCAGGGCUUGCAAACCCCCAGGAGGCUUGGGGGUGGGGCCACCUCUGGCCCAGUUUCCUGGGAGCCCAGCCCAGCCCCGAGAUUCCUGCGAUGGGUGUGCCCAACUUCCGGCCGGGUGUGGGCGGGCACAGGGCUCCAGGAGGCAAAAAGGCUGUUCCCGCCCUUCCCGCCGCCAGAGCCUGCUGGUGUGCGCCACGGUGAACUUGCUGGGACGAGGACUCCAUCCCAGCGCCAUGUGUGAGGUCCAGAGCAGCAGCCUUCUGUGCCGGGACCCAGCGGGCGCUGCCCACCCGGCCGGCACCCUCGGUGCCCUGUCCCCGGGCGAGCCUGGUCUUGGCUCCAGGCUCAGCCGCGUCCUUCCUCGACGACCAGCAGCCGCUGCGGCUCCAGCGCUGGACAGAGGCAGCCCGGCGCCCACACCUGCAGGCGAGCGGCUCUCUCGGCCUCAGUUUACCACCUGCAGAGCCAGAGAGGAGGAAGCCGGGAGGGGGAGGAGGGCGCCGUCGCCUGGAUUCUCCCUUCGGGGCUUUUGUGUUUUCAAGGAGGGCUUUUCUUUCCAUUUUCUUUUCCUUUUCUUUUUUUUUGGUGAGGUAAGGGGUCAUAGAAUUUGACCAGAGAUGCUGGUUGCCGACGCCGAGCCCGUUGGAGUGCGCAGCCCCACGGCUCAGCUGUGGGCAGCGGUGCCCACCAGGCUCUGCUGGGCAUCUGGGCUGUGACCGCGGCGAGCAGAGCCAUGGGACCUGCCCGUGAGAGCCCACAGGGCCCUGAGCCCCCGAGAGGCCCCGGAGGGCAGGAAUGCGGGCAGACAGUGUAAGGGUCCCCCCCACCCCCCGGGGGCUGGGCGGCUGCUGCUCCUGGGAGGUGUCGACUCCCCUCCCCCCAGUGAGGAGCCUGGCCCUCAGGACUUUACGUCCCACCUGCCAAGCGGUGAUUUGGCUCCUCCCCAUGGAAGCUCGGCUCCCGCCCGCUUAUUGCGAAACGUCCCAGAUGCCACAGCCUGGCUUCUGCCGCGGGGCGGGGCCUGCAGCAGCUUCAGACCCGAGCCACACGUGGUCGGGGCAGGCAGCUUUCCUCCUGGGCCUCAGUCUCCUCAUCUGUAAAGUGGGGUGGAAACGCCAGGGUGUGAGUGAGAACUAGAGGGGCAGCGGGUCAGGGCUGGGUACGUGGUAGGUGGCGGCGUCAGAGCGGUGCCCACCCCGCUCUCUCAUCACUGAGACCCACCGUGGGCCUGGCAUCACCCGGCCCGACCCAGGGGCAGGCUAGGGGCGCAGCCGCCCUCCACUCAGCUUGGAGCUGCCCCCCGUCCCAGGCCCCUCCGCAGAUCCCAGGCGGAGAGGCAGGUGGAGGACCUGGGCACAUGGUCGCCGCAGCCCAAGGAGAGGUGAGGUGGCACCUGAGUUUUCUGUCCCGGGCAGGAGAGACCUGGGCGGGUGUGAGCCAUCGCCUACGGGUACCCACCACCCCUGCACCCGGCCCCCCUCCCAGGUUGGCAAGGGAGUGAGCUGGGAGGAGCGGGCAGCGUGGUCGGGGUUGAUUUAGAGUUCGGGGAGAGGGGAUAAUGUAGGAAAUGAAGGAAAUUUCCCCAGGGGGAGAGAGAAAAAAGAGGAGCUUAAGUGCCCAGAUAAUUACACCGCCGGGCGGUGAUUUACGGCGGCGGUUCCUCCGCUGCCUCCCGUGCCCUCCCCGCUCAGCCCCGCGUGAGACCUGCCGGUGGGGGUGGCAGCGGGCGGGCCACGCCCAGACCCCCCACCCCGAGUCCCGCCAGCUCUGAUGUCUCUUAGCAUGUCCCCCCCUUUGAUCGGCCCCUGGGUGGUGCCCAUGUCGCCCACCCUGCAGGGUGCCAGCCAGGUCCCCUUCCUGGGACUCCGGGAGCCUGAGCCCCUCGGGCAGGGCAGGCUCUUGGGGGACAUUUCAUGAGUCCGGCGACUGAAAGGGGAGACAAGACAGCCUCGCUGUGCUCCGUGCGGGCGCUGUGAGGAGUUCCGAGGCGCCAGCAGACAAUUUUCCCACCAAGUCCUGUCCCCGUGAGGCCAAGGCAGGGCUCCGAGACCAGCGGCCGGCCGGGCACUGACCCUGCCGGAGAGGGCGGGCGUCGCUGUGCUGAGGCGGCUGCAGGCCUGGGAAGAGCAGCUGGGAGAGGGGCCCAUCGAGGACUGGGGCCCGUCCUUCUGGGGUCCUGGGGUGUCCGGAGAAGGGGAAGACGUAGACAGAGAGAGAGGGGCGCCCACCAGGUGCUCCUUAUGGUGCGAGGACCUGGAAGCAGCCUGCCUUCUGGGGGUUCAGUGGUCGUGACCAGUUCCCCGAUGGGGUGCCAGGGCUCAGGCUGUGGGGGGCGCUCCAGGCCAGGUGGGCACGGUUCCGUGAGGCCUGAGCCUCCGGACGGUUACACGUGUUGGCUGCCUUUCUCCGUUUCCCAAACUCUGGCUUCAUGAGGAUCUGUUUCUUCAGCAGUGACAGGAAAAUGUCAUUUACUUUCAGAACCAACCACGUGGCGAGAGUGAAACUGACCUGCCCGCCAGGCCAUCCCUGCCUGUUCCCCCAAAAGCCGGCCGUCCACAGCGGGCGGGAGUCGUGGUGGGGGUGGCCAGGGCAUCUCAUCACCGUCAAGCACGAUGGCCGUGGCUUUGCUAGUGCAGAUCCUGCCGUUUGUGACCAGCCUGGCCCAGCGGAGCCCGAGGUGGGUGUGCGACACGCGGCGGCGGCCUGCUUUUUGGGGGGAUGUGGCUCAUCCCAAAGCCCCUCAGAAAGGGGGACCCGUCACGGCCUGCAGGAGGCCCCGCUGCACUGCCCUGCCCAGAGAGAGGAAGGGAGAAAGAAACAUCGACCGGCUGCCUCCUGCACGCCCUGCGGUGGAUGGAGCCCGAAACCUGGGCAUUGCCCUGACGGGACGGAACCAGCGACCUGCUGCAUGGACAACGCCCGCUGACCCAGCCGCACGCACGCCUUUUGCCGCGUGUUGGCCUCCCUGUCCUGAUGGGGUGUGAUGGCCACUCCUGUCCUGAUGGGGUGACCCAGUGCCUAGAUGAGUUUCCCAAACACCACUCUGCACUCUCCCUCUCUCAGUCCAACCCCCCUACCGUUCUCUCCCUUCUUCCCUCACCCCUCUCCCUCCCGCAUCUCCCCCCUCUCCCUUCCCCAUAUC